rnacentral:lncRNA from 1 species
GAAGACAGUGAUUGUCUUCUCCUGGGAUGGGGAAAGAGCAAGGCAACACAUUGAGCAGGUAUUAAAUGCCCAAAGGGUGCUACUUCCUACCAUUGUUUACCUGGACUGAGCGAUUCAGACCCUUGAGCCACAUCCCACAAUUUUGCCUCCAAAGUUCUGCAUUUCUCAAGCAAACUUAAGGGUCCCAAUACCAUAAAUAAAAGUUUGAUUCUCAGAAAUGACUUUGCUUCUCUUCUUCCAAAUCAC